CAAUAAAUCAUCGAAGUUCAGCACGGCUACCAGUUUUCUCAAAAACAAACCCUUUUGCUUUUCUUCAAUCUUGGAAAUCACAUAUCUUGAACCUUUUGGAUGAGUGUUUGGAACAUUGCUCUUUCCGGUGGCCCUUACGACGACACCUCCUUUGUCCUGCGUUACAGUCAUGCUUCCGGUAAUUUUUCAAGCAAAAGAGUCUCUAUGUUUUACCAUUGAAUUUCCAAGCACUUCUCUAGAAAGUCUUCUAUUCCUGUUCUUCAUGUUGUUAGAGUUUCAGCCUCUAAAAAUAUCUUUUCUUCUUCUUAUUCUUUAUGCUGUCAAUGUUCGGGUAUUGAGUCCCUCUUUUGAACAUUGUUUUUUCUUGUUGUGUCAGAAGAAUCUUUUUCUCAUCCUUUAUUUCAUGCUACCACAUUGGUAUUAGGGUAGUUCUUAGUGGAUCUGUAUCAGUUUAUGGAUUUCCUGGAUUUGUUAGGUGGAAUGUAGGAAGUGUUUGUUGUUUUGGGAUGUUCUCUGUAUCUUUAAAUACCAUCUUGGUACUGUUUUAAUAAAAUCUUUACCUUCUCAAGAAGAAAAAAAAAAUUCAUGCUACCACAUUUUUGGAUAUCUCCCAUGAACAUUAAAGUCUUUUCAAAUAGUCACUAUAGCUUCACCGAAACAGAACAAAAGUUCUGGUCUGCUACUGUUUCUUAUGUUCUCCUCACAGUUGGUAUGGUUUGAUGUCCCUAUGGAGUCUGGAUACUCCCAACCCAAAAGGAAAAAAAAAAAA